UAAACAUCUGCAAAACAUUUUUGAAUGCUGGUUUGAGAACGCUCCUCCUUUGUCAUCAUGAAACAUAAUCAAUGUUUCUAACAACAUGACUGAAACAUUUUCUUAUUAAUUAUUAGCAUUUGUAGGUAAUGUUAUCUAAUGUUGUGGGAGCACUCUCUGCCGAUUGGGAGAUAAUUUUCACUGCAGAACGCUUCCAAGUUUAUUCUCUUCAUCAUGAUUUGCACAUUUGGUUAAUUGCUAUUUUCUAACUUUGACCUCUUUUUGUUAGUUUUUCUGGAAAUCUCUACUCAGGUUUUUUCUGUUCCUCCCCCCAUCCAGAGCUACUGUCUUGGUUUUGGUGCAAACCUUGCAUCCGUCCAUUCACUUGAGCAGUAUAAUUGGCUGAGAAGCAUGAUUAAAGGUGUAACUCAGGGGAAUCCAGAAACAUGGAUUGGAGGCUCUGACUGCCAACAGGAGGGGAAGUAGUUUUGGAGUGAUGGUACUCCUUUCAAAUACAGUUUCUGGGGCCCUGGACAGCCUGACAAUAGUGGUGGUGGCCAGGACUGUCUUCAAAUGAACUGGGGAGCCUCCAAUCGCUGGGAUGACUUACAGUGCAACAUUCCGAGACCAUCUGUCUGUGCCAAGGAAAUCUGAUCUGAUGAUUCCCAAGCUGACGCUGAGGCACAAAGCACCAAAAGUGCAAACAAAUAAAUCAUUUUUCUUCUUUCUCUGUCUUUUCUAUCGCUGUAAUGCAACACAAGGAAUGAAGCAUCGAGUGGUAAAAACAGGAGCUGGAUUCUCUUUCAAGCCCAGAGAAAACUGAAUGUGUUAUGAAAAGAAUGCUUUUUCUGCAUUUUCCCUGGCUCAUGUCAAAAUUAAAAAUCUUGAAGCAUCGAA
ensembl:lncRNA